CUAUACUAUAGACGUUUAUGGUACAAUGAAUGAGCCGAUACUUGCGUAGGGCUGUAUAGAAUAGCGCUACCUGUCCUCAACUGCAAAAUCUCUCAAAUGGUUGAAUGUUACCUUGCUAAGCAGACAACGCUAUUGUGGAAAUGUAUACUUAAGAUAGGUCACAUGAAUGUUAUUCGAGAAUACUUGUAGAACCGGCUGUCACCCACAAUAGCUAGAAAUACAGGUUAAACGAGUUUUUGAAAUAGGAAAAAGAAGAAUGAAUUUUAAUGCUAAUUCGAGUAGUUCAAGCUGUAAGAAAGUGAGAGUAUUAAAAGAGGCUGAAAAAGAUGACUCUAACAAGGAAUCUAUUGAGCCGACCCAAACUGCAGAUGGCCCACCUGAUGAUGUACAGGCGUAUUUCGGACACCCCUUAACCUUGGCUACAGACGUGGUACACGGGGAUGGAAACUCAAAAGCGUCCGGUGCUGCUCUGUUACACGAAUAUAUUAAUCUUCCAGCAAUAGACCAUCAUGAAAAAACACCAGAAUCUUUGCAGUGCUCCAGGGAAAGUGCAAGUUCCACUUCAAUGCCAUUUGAUACAGGAAUGUGGCCUGAAUUAGAAAAUAUAACAGGAAAGGUCAUUUAAGAACAAGUUCAUUUAGAACUUAUUAGUGAUUUAUUCAGCAUAAAAGGUGCAUCAGUGAAACUAACAUUACAAUAUUACAAUUGAUUGAUAGAUAACACUUAAGUCAGAAUCACUAACAUAAAAACAAAAUUUGUGGUGGAAAGGCCACUCAACAGGCAUCGCUACAUCGUGUUUGAGAAGACAUAUUGUGGCCAAAGGAAAUAUGUAAAAAUCUUGGGAAACUGAAGGACAAAUCAAUUACAGAUCUUCAUUGUCAUCGGAAGUGACGUAAUAUUGGCAAAAGCUGUAUUUUUAACUUGAGUCACUGCCGAUAAAUGAUCAAUUAUUCAGGGGAGUAACUUUAUACGUUUUGUCAAUAACAAAAUUAUUGAUGUUUCGAUUUCAAUAAAUUUUUCACCAUUUGAUGCCUAAUGCAAUUAAUCUAAUAGUGCCAUCAUUAAACGGUUGAUGGAAAACGGUUUCAUUGGUACGGGAAGUGGCGCCAGUUAUUGGGUAAAGGACACAGGUGAAAUCCGCCAUCACUGUAUCGCAGUUACAGUUAUUUUUUGUAUUG